rnacentral:sRNA from 1 species
UUUGAGUUGUCUUGGACUGACUCCAGUUUUCUGAUUCCUCUGUCUUUUCAAGCGGGGUGCAGGCAGAUUCAAGACCUGGAGCUCUCGUCUGUGGAGGUGGAUCCCUGUGGAGACGCUCAGGCUGCUGCGGAGGGAGCGGUGCUCGGUCUCUAUGAAUACGAUGACCUAAAGCAAAAAAAGAAGAUGGCCGUGUCGGCGAAGCUCUAUGGAAGUGGGGAUCAGGAGGCCUGGCAGAAAGGAGUCCUGUUUGCUUCUGGGCAGAACUUGGCACGCCAAUUGAUGGAGACGCCAGCCAAUGAGAUGACGCCAACCAGAUUUGCCGAAAUUAUUGAGAAGAAUCUCAAAAGUGCUAGUAGUAAAACCGAGGUCCAUAUCAGGAACUUAACAUGGCUUAUUUUGGUGAAUUAUUCCUAUCAUCACUUUUGGACACAAAUGAAGAACACAGCAUGCCUAACUAGACAUGGGAUGAGAAUUUGUGCCGCAUAGAUUCCCUU